rnacentral:tRNA from 1 species
GAGGGCAUAGCUCAAGUGGCAGAGCAUUUGCCUGGCAAGCAAGAGCCCUUAGUCCAAAUCUGAGAACUAUCA